rnacentral:lncRNA from 1 species
CUUAUACUAAUGGAGGGGCCUUGUCCAUAGUCAUGGCCCUGACUGACCUGUCAAUGCAUGGCCUAAACUGCUGAACCUGGAAAUAUGAAAUUACAAACUGGGAGUGGUGAAACAGACGGCAAUUGCAAUUAAUGCAUAGCAAAGCAGGGAUUAUUACAUAUUCACUCUGUGCAUAAACAAAUGUAAAACACUCCAUUUUCUAGACUUGGCCCAGAAAAUGGUAAGAGAGCAUGUAUAUUUGCAAAUAUACUUAAGGAAAGUGGCAGCAACAACCAAAACUUAUUAGCUUUGGGAAAUGUCAUACCUAAACUAAGUGAAAGUAGCGCCCCACAUAACCAUGUACCAUAUAAGACAAUUGAUCUGAUCAAAUUGUUAUAAAAAAUUCUUUUCACGGCAAUGAUAAAAUACUGAUGAUUGUUUGUAUCAGUGUAGCAAAUUAUUGUUAACAUAAAAUUUAUUAUAUCUUAUAAUUCAUAUUAGUGUUCCAAAUUAUUUACAUCUUAUUUGAGAUACCUUUAAAUCCUAAUGUAAAUGAGACAUAAAACACAUUGAGAUGUACAUUUAGAGGGCAUGUAGAGUAGGAAAUAAAUCAGAAGUGAUUGAAUAUUCACAAGUUAUAUGCUGUCUGCAUAAUUUAGAUGACUUUUAUGUUUCCAGAUAAAAUACAAAGUAAGGAAAAUUUGAAUCCUAAUAUUAUGGAAAAAGAUCCAGAUCUAUCACCAUUUAGCAAUUUGUACAAAAAGUUAAUCACUUUUCAUGUCAGAUAAGAAGGAAUUUUAAAAUGUACAUGCGCAUCACUGCAGUAUCAGAUACAACAGUGCAAUUACAACAAAAAUAAAAUUCUAUGCAGCAAUAAAUACAAAUGUAACAAACAUCAAUAUUUAAGCAAAGCUAAAAAUGUAAAUUUGAAUUACGCAUUCCUGGUUUUGCGAGAAGAUGGUGAAGAAGAAGAAGAUAAUGAAUUUCCAAAAAAGCUAAAGUUGAUGGAAUAAAUUUUCUGGCUGCCAUUAACACAAAGUCCAAUUGUCUAAAAAUGCAAUUUGUGAUAAAGUAUAACAUUUUUUUUAAACAUUUAUUUCCAUGCAAUUUUUUUUUAUUUGUGAUCCAGGUCUUCUGACUUUAGAUAAUUUCUAAUCAUAUCUGCAAUAUUUAUUAACUUUAUGAAUAUAUAAAUUUUAUUUUAUGGCCUAUGAGAAAUUAUUUGAGUCUGUUUAAUAUAAAUAAAUUCAGGUAGAAAUGUUACCACUCUGGGGCAGGCUGCUCUGACAAGCAUAUAGCCUGAUUUCUCUGAUGUUUUUGGAAUGAUUGAAAAAGAUUUAAAGCAAUCAGUGUUGUAAUAUAUAGCCUUGUAAUGUAUAGAUGUAAUAUAUAGAUAACGAUUUUGUAUUAUUUAAGCAUGUAAUAUAAAAACGCUUUCAUAACUUUUUGUUUAUAGCA